GACGAACGCUGGCGGCGUGCUUAACACAUGCAGGUCGAACGGUGAAGCGCCUUCCUUUUUGGUGGGUGUGGAUGAGUGGCGAACGGGUGAGUAACACGUGAGUAACUUGCCCCCUUCUUCUGGAUAACCGCAUGAAAGUGUGGCUAAUACGGGAUAUUCUGGGUCUGUCGCAUGAUGGGUCUGGGAAAGAUAUUGUUUCGGUGGGGGAUGGGCUCGCGGCCUAUCAGCUUGUUGGUGGGGUGAUGGCCUACCAAGGCGGUGACGGGUAGCCGGCCUGAGAGGGUGGACGGUCACACUGGGACUGAGACACGGCCCAGACUCCUACGGGAGGCAGCAGUGGGGAAUAUUGCACAAUGGGCGCAAGCCUGAUGCAGCGACGCCGCGUGAGGGAUGGAGGCCUUCGGGUUGUGAACCUCUUUCGCCAGUGAAGCAGGCCUGCCUCGUUUGUGGGUGGGUUGACGGUAGCUGGAUAAGAAGCGCCGGCUAACUACGUG
rnacentral:rRNA from 1 species